rnacentral:rRNA from 1 species
AAAACGCCAAAGAACUACGAACGCAAGUUUAAAACUUAAAGGACUUGACGGUGUCCCAUCUACCUAGAGGAGCCUGUUCUGUAAUUGAUAAUCCUCGUUAUACCUCACCUUUUUUAGCUCAUCAGCUUGUAUACUUCCGUCGUAAGCUUACCAUAUGAAUGCAUAAGUAAGCCAAAUAGUUAGAACGUCAGGUCAAAGUGCAGCCACCAAAAAGGAAAGAAAUGGGCUAUAAUUUCUACUAAAGAACAUACGAACUAUUGAAAAAUAUAUGAAGGUGGAUUUAGAAGUAAAGUAAAAAUAAAGUGUUUCUUUAACAAUGCUCUGGGACGUGUACACACCGCCCGUCACCCU